AUUGAACGCUGGCGGCAGGCCUAACACAUGCAAGUCGAACGAGUGGCGGACGGGUGAGUAAUGUCUGGGAAACUGCCUGAUGGAGGGGGAUAACUACUGGAAACGGUAGCUAAUACCGCAUACCAUCGGAUGUGCCCAGAUGGGAUUAGCUAGUAGGUGGGGUAACGGCUCACCUAGGCGACGAUCCCUAGCUGGUCUGAGAGGAUGACCAGCCGCACUGGAACUGAGCCACGGUCCAUAGUCCUACGGGAGGCAGCCGUGGCGUAUAUUGCGCAAUGGGCGCCAGCCUGAUGCAGCCAUGCCACGUGUAUGAAGAAGGCCUUCGGGUUGUAAAGUACUUUCAGCGGGUAGGCGUUACCCGCAGAAGAAGCACCGGCUAACUCCGUGCCAGCAGCCGCGGUAAUAC
rnacentral:rRNA from 1 species